CUGUAAUUUCAGAUUCCUCCAUUUUUAGUCCCUCAUUUUACGUGCCAUGUAUGCAGAUUCUGCUUACAUGGUGGAAUGAAGGACCAAAAGUGGAAGAAUAUGAAAUUACAG
rfam:Medicago truncatula strain A17 chromosome 5, whole genome shotgun sequence.